rnacentral:rRNA from 1 species
GACGAACGCUGGCGGCGUGCUUAACACAUGCAAGUCGAGCGGUAAGGCCCUUUUGGGGGUACACGAGCGGCGAACGGGUGAGUAACACGUGGGUGACCUGCCCUCAGCUCUGGGAUAAGCCUGGGAAACUGGGUCUAAUACUGGAUAUGACCUUUCCUCGCAUGGGGUUGGGUGGAAAGUUUUUCGGCUGGGGAUGGGCCCGCGGCCUAUCAGCUUGUUGGUGGGGUGAUGGCCUACCAAGGCGACGACGGGAGCCGGCCUGAGAGGGCGACCGGCCACACUGGGACUGAGACACGGCCCAGACUCCUACGGGAGGCAGCAGUGGGAAUAUUGCGCAAUGGGCGGAAGCCUGACGCAGCGACGCCGCGUGGGGAUGACGGCC